rnacentral:rRNA from 1 species
UGGGGAAUAUUGCACAAUGGGGGAAACCCUGAUGCAGCGACGCCGCGUGAGUGAAGAAGUAUUUCGGUAUGUAAAGCUCUAUCAGCAGGGAAGAUAAUGACGGUACCUGACUAAGAAGCCCCGGCUAACUACGUGCCAGCAGCCGCGGUAAUACGUAGGGGGCAAGCGUUAUCCGGAUUUACUGGGUGUAAAGGGUGCGCAGGUGGCAGGGCAAGUCAGAUGUGAAAGCCCGGGGCUCAACCCCGGUAUUGCAUUUGAAACUGUCCGGCUAGAGUGCAGGAGAGGUAAGCGGAAUUCCUAGUGUAGCGGUGAAAUGCGUAGAUAUUAGGAGGAACACCAGUGGCGAAGGCGGCUUACUGGACUGUAACUGACACUGAGGCACGAAAGCGUGGGGAGCAAACAGG